rnacentral:rRNA from 1 species
UACAGAGGUGGCAAGCGUUGUUCGGAAUUACUGGGCGUAAAGGGCGCGUAGGCGGCCUUCUAAGUCAGACGUGAAAUCCCCCGGCUUAACCUGGGAACUGCGUCUGAUACUGGGAGGCUUGAGUAUGGGAGAGGGAUGUAGAAUUCCAGGUGUAGCGGUGAAAUGCGUAGAUAUCAGGAAGAACACCUAUGGCGAAAGCAGCUCUCUGGGACGGUACUGACGCUGAGACGCGAAAGCGUGGGGAGCGAACAGG